CGCGCGGCCCGCACUGCGGCACCCAGUCGGCUCUCAGAGCUUGGGACGUUGGCGGCCGGUCUGGCUGUGCUGCUGCCGCCCUCCGGCCCGCCCAGCUUGGCACUAGGUCUGCUUGCUUCUCACCGCUCCAGCAGUCGGUUCGUUGGGAACCGAUCGCUGAGCGCUCUCCUCUCCGAUCCUGAUUGAGUCAGUGCGUUACAUUAUUUCUCAAUGCUUGCCAUAAAGCUGAGCUAUGCCCACUGUUGAGAGUGAAGCCAAAGCAAAAACCAAAAUUCGCUUUGAAGAAUUACUUAAGACCCACAAUGAUCUAAUUCGUGAAAGAAAAAAACUGAAGAAAAAACUUGCCAAAUCUAGAGAAAACAUCCCAGUGAGUAACUGAUCAUUUGGUUAUGGUGACUUACGUAUCUGAAUAAAAUUAUGGCUUUCAUAUUAAAAUUCUAAGGA
rnacentral:lncRNA from 1 species